UGGGGUGUAGCCAAGCGGUAAGGCACGGGACUCUGGAUCCUGGAUGCGGAGGUUCGAAUCCUCCCACCCCAGCCA
rnacentral:tRNA from 1 species